UUAUGUAAUACAUGUACACUAGCCACUUUAACUAUGGCCACUUGGUUUACAUACUCAUCUCAUAUGUAUAUACUGUACUCGAUAUCAUCUACUGUAUCUUGCCUAUGCUGCUCUGUACCAAUCACUCAUUCAUAUAUCCUUAUGUACAUAUUCUUUAUCCCCUUACACUGUGUAUAAGACAGUAGUUUUUUGGGAAUUGUUAGUUAGAUUACUUGUUCGUUAUUACUGCAUUGUCGGAACUAGAAGCACAAGCAUUUCGCUACACUCGCAUUAACAUCUGCUAACCAUGUGUAUGUGACAAAUAAAAUUUGAUUUGAUUGCCUUCACUAAACUUAUCUGGAUUCACACGUAAAUAUGAACAUACGACUCACAGAGCUGCCAUAGCGUUUGUGAGACUGUAAUUAAGAUGGUGCUUACUGUCCUCUCUCUCACUCCUUUCUGAGCUGAAGGAGCGGACCCAUCCCAGUCUGUUGAGGUGUGUGAGACAGUGUUUUACAAGGCCUUGACCAGGAUGCUGGUUGCUGGUAUCCUGUCCAGUGGUACUACAACAGAGAUAGUACAGUAAGCCAUUCUAAGUCACGCUACUUUCUUUUUGUAUAUGAAUAGCCGACCGACAUCAUGUGAAGCUAUACAUGAGUGUGUACUAACUGUAUGUCGUCAAAGAUUAUGUAAGGUCAACAAGACAUUUUCAGUGAAAAACAAAAAGAAACAACUUUUCAUUGCAGUAUCUUAUGAAUUUUCAAUAAACGUUAUCUGUUUACACAGAAAUAAUACAUUCUGGUGGUCAGCUGUGUCAGCCAUAUUUGACUGUCCCCUACCUCUGACCAGGUACUACCAUAAAAAGACUCUGAGGCUGAUCCGGCGGGCCGUGCGACCAGACAGGGAGGACGGGGACCAUGUUCUCACCUACUACACCAAGGGAGCUCAUCUCAUAGGCCUGAAGAGCAACCAGCUCCUCAAGUACAUCCAGCCAGUGGAGACAAUUGCCCAGAGCCAGAAGAAGAAGGACAGCGCGUACUUGAGGCGUCCCAGCCUUAUCGUGGCCUACAUCUCCUGGGACCCCCGACGCAUGUUUUGAUGUGCAGAGACAAUUGCCCAGAGCCAGAAGAAGAAGGACAGCCCGUACUUGAGGCGUCCCAGCCUUAUCGUGGCCUACACCUCCUGGAACCCUGCACAGAGGGCCAAAAUGAUCUGCAUGAAGUCUGUCAAGACCGGGAAGACCAUUGAGAAUGAGGAUCGCAUCAGACAAGUAAUUUUUCGAAAUCAUUUUCACAAAUUAAAAUUUGUGAGAAAUAUAGAAAGGCAGCGAAAAUAUGUUGCUACUCUUCUUGUAUUUGUACCAGCAGUCAAUCAAGCACCAUGGGAUGGAGAAAAUGGAGACGAUCACACCUGUGAAGAUGAAGGUGAACCAGUCCAUGAAGGAGAGGGACCACCUCACUUACAAUGAGAUCAACCAGAUAAAGCUGAAGGUAAGACGGAUUUGAACUGAAUGUAUGAUAAUAUUGAUGCAGUCAGUCCCACAUUGAAGUUCUCUCUGUGUCUGUCUCUGUCUCUGUCUCUGUCUCUGUCAGUCCAGUCUAAAUCAAGUCUGAAGGAGUACCUGAAGGACCUGACCCAGCUGAAGCGUAGGGACAUGUGGAACUCCUGGGGCUCCCUUCAGUGUUACUGUGCCUUCCACAGCCAGAAGGACUUCCCCAAAACCUUCACCACCAACUCCUGGUCCUGGAGUGGCUGAUGGAGACUGGAGACCUGGACGCUCCCUGUAGGUCCACACUACGCCUGCAUAUAGCCAACCACUGGAGCCCAUCGCUAGGAAGCAGCGUGCCUCGUCCAAUCAGGGAGGAUAAAAAGAGAAGACCCCGGCAGCAACCCCCACUGACAGGAAGAGCAGUACACUGUAGAAAAGAGGGAGAACACCAAUAGCAAUCAUAACCAUACUGAUACGAUCAAUUACUUUAACCACAAAGAUCCCACCCCGCAUUUCCUCUCACCACAGUCUCCACUCCCCCACCCCUCCUGAUUCCAGUCCCUAUGAUGACUUCGACCAGAGCGGCUGUAGUUAUGAGUGCAAAAACCUCCCAUGCUAUGUGUACAAACAGGACCGGCCCCCUAGCUGAUCUGUUGCCAUGGGCCUAACUUACAUUAGCCCGCCCCUGAGGCCCAUGAGAGGGGGAGGAAUGGAGGAGAGGUGUGUGUUGCCUGGAUGUUGUGUCCAAACAGUCAUUUCCAAUAACUCCCACGUCAAGAGCCACUCCUCCACUCUAGACAUCCCACAUUAACCUCAGUCUAUGUCUAAAUCUAAGGGUCCUACAAGGCCAGCCAAGACAUGGAGCCUAGGAGGAGAGCCAGAACUACUCAUCCCCUUGGCCUGCUCCAACUGGCUGGGUUACACUAUAGUCUGCUGAUUAAGUCCCUGACAGGUCCAGGUCCUGAUAGGGUUGAGGACCCUGAUAUCAGGCCCAAUUGAGGAAGGGAUCAGUGCUGGUCUGAUCCAUUCAUUAUGAACAGUCUCAGUCUGAUGUUAACCAGACAUGCCUGAGACACACACACACAGACACAGCGUACGUUAGCCCUCCGCCUGGCUCCCAUUAAGAAGAUGACAGGUAAUAAAAUAAACCACAGUGAAACAGGGAGCUCUGUUGUUAAAGCUGUUGUGCUUGAAUGUGUCUGCGCACUUGGCGAUAUCAUAAAUUAGCAGUGACACUGUUUACUAAAACUAAGCAUACUUGGCCUGAUGGCCCCUGUCAUCCUGUAAACCAGAUGCUUUAGCCUCAGCAGUUUCCUUUUCCUCUCUUCUGUUUACUGUAUGCUGAGACCAGAUAAGCGCUAUUGUGGCAAAUACAACAGUUUGGGCUCGAUAUUUUCUCAGCUAAUUGGAUAGUUGGGCAUUGGUCCUGCCUGGGAUAUCUCAUCAUCUUUUUCUCCAAACAAAUCUAUCAUUGUUUGGAAAUGUUAAACUAGGUAAGGCUGGCCUGUGUCUGUUUCUCUGGAUGUCAUGGGGAAAGAGAGAGGGCCCCCUAGUGCCUUUGACUGGUUCCUAAAGGGUUAUUGUUGUUUGACUGAGACCGCCUCUUCAGAUGGUUUACCACAAGGGGGUGCCAGUGUAUCAGCCCUUAUUGUCUGGUUCAGUCGCUUCACUUCCUCAGAUAGGCUCGUUGACUUGAUAAUGACUUACAUUUUUCUCUGUCUUGUUAUGAAGAAGAUAUACAUUUUUAGGUAUAAUGAAUCUACACUUUAGUAUAGUAGUUUAUUACUGUUGAUAUGAAGUAAUAAUAUGCUGUAGUAGUAGUACUCAAAGCUCUUUAAAAUGUUACACUUCAUCAAACUCCUGAUGUCAGAUCUGUCAAUAUCAUUUUUUAUUUAUUUCACCUUUAUUUAACCAGGUAGGCCAGUUGAGAACAAGUUCUCAUUUACAACUGCGACCUGGCCAAGAUAAAGCAAAGCAGUGCGACAAAAACAACAACACAGAGUUACACAUAAACAAACAUACAGUCAACAACACAAAAUAAAAUAAAAAUAGAAAAGAAUCUAUGUACAUU
ensembl:lncRNA